GAAGUCUGGGUUUUGCAUCAACUUUGCAAACACUGAUGUGACACGGCUGUUUGAUGGAGAGACAGGCCAUUUGGUGCCGUCAGCCUCUCACUUCCUAGUUGAAAGUGAUAUGUUCGUCAUGGCAGGGAGAAUGAUGGGCCACUCCUUCCUUCAUGGUGGACCGUGCCUGUCUGGGCUCAGCCCUGCCUUUGCUCAUGUCCUGCUUGGAGGGGGUCCCGAAACUGCAACUGUAGCCCUAGAAGACUGUCCAGACCUGGACAUCCGGGAAACAAUCAGGCUUCUUCAAGGUGAAUCCGAACUCUCUGAGGAAGAGGCAAAAAGAGUACAGGACUUGGCCUAUGCCUGGGACCUCCCUUGCCUGUCUAAUAAUAACAGGAGAUGGCUUUUCGAGAAAAUGUUGAUCCAUGCUGUCAUUGGACGUGUCACAAGACAAAUGAAACAGCUGAGACGUGGUCUUAAAGAGACACAAAUGUGGACCGUGCUGACCAAACGACCUGACACAGUGGCCCUGCUUUUCCCUAAAGAGUGAGCAGUGGAUUACAGCCCUGAGGUACUUCUGAAGCACAUUACCUGGCCUCAUCAUGAUGAAG